rnacentral:tRNA from 1 species
UCCCGUGUGGCUCAGUUGGUAGAGUAUGGUGUUUGCAACGCCAGGGUUGUGGGUUUGAUUCCCACAGGGGAC